rnacentral:lncRNA from 1 species
CAUCCAUUUUUGUAGCACUUUUUUUUUUGAGAUGGAUUCUCACUCUGUUUCCCAGGCUAAAGUGCACUGGCACAACCUCAGCUCACUGCAACCUCGGCCUCCUGUGCUCAAGCAAUCCUUCUGACUCACAGAGGCGCGCGCCACAACACCUGGCUAAUUUUUAUAUUUUUAGAAAAAGAAAUCAGAAUAAUGGUUACCCUUGGGAAAUAACAACUGAGAGGCUACUCUACUCAGGAGGCUGAGGCAGGAGAACAGCUAUAACCCAGGAGGUAGAGGUUGCAGUGAGCCAAGAUCAUGCCACUGUACUCCAGCCUGGGCAACAGAGUGAGACUCUGUCUCAAAAAAAAAAAAAAAAAAAAAGAACUACACAUCAUACUUAAAUUGAUUGGGUGGCCAAACUGUUGGUGCCCCACUUAGAUCUCCUUAGGUCCCUUUUCCCAGUCCCAUGUACUCACUUGUCAGCAACUAUAGCAAAUACUUUGUUGCUAAUAAUUUACACUUGCAAUCUUUAGAGUAUGCAUUCUCAACAGGGGCAAUAAUUGAUUCUUGGGGAGCAAAAAGUGUAUAAAGGUUUUUUUUUUUUUUUUUUUUUUGAGACUGAGUUCUGCUGUGUCGCCCAGACAGGAACACAGUGGCACGAUCUUGGUUCACUGCAACCUCUGUUUCCCGGGUUUAAGCGAUUCUCCUGCCUCAGCCUGUGGAGUAGCUGGGAUUACAGGCGUGCA